UGAGAAUGACCUAUGGUGGUCUUGAAGGAUUCAGAAGAAAAUUUUAUUGUACCAUAUUAUUUAUUAUAACAUUACAUCAUUAAUCAGACCUCAGAGCUCAUAUAGGAAGAGAACAAUAGAUCGCGUUCUAUCACUGUAAACCAUUGAACUAGAAUUGUACAUAGUUUAUUUAUAUAUAUAUAUUAAGUUAUAUUUAAUCUUAUAUUUCCAAUCUUGACUUUGGUUUGAGAUGUUGGGGAGAAGGAUUCUGAUUUAUGAAAUUCUUUGUAACCAUUCAACUUAAACCAAUAUUUAUUCUAAAGUAAACAAUGCCUCUGCAUGGAAUUCAAUAUGUUUGAAAGAAAAACAUCCAUAGCAGUUAAAAACUCAAAAAUUAAAAAAAAAAAAAAAAAAUUAUUCAAAAUAAAAAAUACAAAAAAAAUGUUAAAAGCAACAGCGAAAACAAAAACAAAAAAAAGGAAAAAAGAAAUGAAAAAAUG
rnacentral:misc_RNA from 1 species